ensembl:lncRNA
GAAACACACACACACAUGACCAAUAACGUCACUUCGGUUCCUCCCCUGCCUGCAUGUUGUUGUUAUGUAGUGUCAAAGUCUGUUCUCUGUGCCAUGGACUUAACAUCUCUUCUCUGCUUUUCCUUUACGACAUAUCUUUUUGGAUUUGCUUCUGCUCUCGAUGGUCAGACAGGAGGACACACAGAGGAUGGAUCUGUUGGACUGAUCAUUGGUGUGGUAGUUGCUGUUGUCCUUAUUGUUGUUGGUGUUGUUUUUUUGAUCUACAGAAAACGUAAACAAGAAAAUGUUGGUUCAUACUAGCUUCCACUUGAACUGCAGAAUGUUUGAAAUGACUAAACAAAACUGGAAACAUCACAGUGAAGAUGACAGAGGAGCAGUUUGAAGAGGAAAUGGAUUCUGUUCUGUUCUUCACUCAUCACCUACCUGACAGCUGACACCUCACACCUGUUUCUCAAGUGUGCUAAUGUGCACUGAUGUUCUUACAGCCAACUAAGAGGAAAAAGCAAAUCUUUAUUGUCUCGGUUAUCACCAACAGUACUUAGUGGUGGAAUAAGUUUCUCCCUGGCUGUCAUUCUUCCCCUGAUGUGACUGUCUUUCUGCAUGAUGUGUAAGUAAUGUUGUCUUGUAAGCUUUUCAUUCUGAGAAAUUAAAAGCUAAUAACAGUUUUGUACAUUGGAUUGUGGUGUACUAUGACUUUCUUGCUGCUAUCAAUGAAACAAAAAAUGAAUCCUGCAACAACCUAUUUUAUGUGGAUUAUGUGUUUUUAUUGUUUACUAGCCAUGGUUAUUUUCUACAGAAGUGAAUAUAAAAGCCUUUGUUCCUCUUGGCUCAUUUAUUCUCUCUGGUCUGCUGUUGGAGAGUUCAUGUUAAUGCAGAUCUAAUUCCACUGGAAUCUUGAAGUUCCAGUCCCAGAGAAACCACAAGCACUGAAUAGGUUCCUAUAAUUAAGAAUGGGGAAACAUCCAUUGCUCGAAGAGGUUGGAUGUUUCCAAUCACUGAUUGAUUGGAAUUUCAAAUGCAUUUUUAAAAGUUCCACUAUUAUCUACUUUCAUGUCCUCAUUCCUUUAUGAGUCUUAUUGAAUGCAAAGUUAAAGUCAUUUGUUGGAUUGUAACUUUAAUUGACAGUGGGUAAAUCCAGGGAAUAUCCUUGGUUACUGUUAACAACUUAUUAUAAAUUAAAAGAAGGAGGGAAAAUAAAAUGGACAACUUUUAUGACAUUUUUCUGCUCUUACGUUGAGUUCGAUGAGGCAAAAAUGUU